rnacentral:rRNA from 1 species
GAUGAACGCUAGCGGCAGGCUUAAUACAUGCAAGUCGUGGGGCAGCAUGAGUAGCAAUACUUGAUGGCGACCGGCAAACGGGUGAGGAACACGUACACAACCUUCCUUCAAGCGGGGAAUAGCCCAGAGAAAUUUGGAUUAAUACCCCAUAAUAUAUUUGAUAAGGCAUCUUAUUAAUAUUAAAGCUUCGGCACUUGAUGAUGGGUGUGCGGCUGAUUAGAUAGUUGGCGGGUAACGGCCCACCAAGUCUACGAUCAGUAGCUGAUGUGAGAGCAUGAUCAGCCACACGGGCACUGAGACACGGGCCCGACUCCUACGGGAGGCAGCAGUAGGAAUAUUGGACAAUGGACGAAAGUCUGAUCCAGCCAUGCGCGUGAAGGAUUAAGGUCCUCUGGAUUGUAAACUUCUUUAUAU